GCUGGGCGUGGUGGUGCACGCCCGUAAUUCCAGCUACUUGGGAGGCUGAGGCAGGAGACUCUCUUGAACCCAGGAGGCAGAAGUUGCAGUGAGCCAGGAUUGCACCACUGCACUCCAGCCUGGGUGACAGAGAGAGAUUCUGUCUCAA
rnacentral:SRP_RNA from 2 species